ensembl:lincRNA
CCCUGACAUCACACUGACACUCCUUCACUACAGCUGCAGCAGUGUCACAGUCUAGAUCUCUUCAUACUUUCCUUUACUUCUUCCUCUGUCAAUAAUGUUCCUGAUCUUUUCAAAUAGAGGCUGAUAAUUCACAGUGAUCUCUGACCAUCACAGGAAUCCUGAGUGUCUUCAGCUCCUCCUCUGAGUUCAGAUGCUGAUGGCAUGUCCACUCACUAACCCCACUCCUCACUCUUCUACAUGUGAUCAACAUCCCAGCUCAGAGGAGGAGCUGAAGACACUCAGGAUUCCUGUGAUGGUCAGAGAUCACUGUGAAUUAUCAGCCUCUAUUUGAAAAGAUCAGGAACAUUAGUGACAGAGGAAGAAGUAAAGGAAAGUAUGAAGAGAUCUAGACUGUGACACUGCUGCAGCUGUAGUGAAGGAGUGUCAGUGUGAUGUCAGGGUACAGAGAUCUAAAGUGUGAGGAAGUAUUCUGGCACAGCCUGACCUAUUUUAAUGAGUUUACAUCCUCUUUCCAGCUUUCAACAAAGUCACUGAAUUCAGUCCAGCCUGGUUCCAGUCUGUCAACAUGUGAUGAAUAAACACCUUCAGCUCCCUCCCUGCUGCCUCCUGCUGCUCCUCUCUCUCAGUGAGGAAUGAGACUGUGAAGAGUCAGAAUCUGGCUCUGGGAUUGACAGGCCCCUCUUGCCCCUCUCUGUCAGCUCCUGUCCUCCUGUCAGGAUGUUCACCUUCCCUCCUGCACUGCUGUCACCCUGAGCUCCCAGACACAGGCGCUCUUACCUCCCUCCCUGUCCAGCCAGAGUCUGCUCCUCUUCUCCGGGAGCAGGCACACAGUCUGCCUCUUCCUUUCCUUGCUCAUCUCAGCACUGACAUUCCUGACUCCUGCAGAAGGGAGCACAGGGGAAAGACAGUGAUGUUUACAGCUGUAAGAGGUCAUGUUCAACAAAUGAGUGGCACCAUCUGCUCUAGACAUACUGCAGCCCCAAUACAGUGACAGUAUCUUUCUUGACAAAUUGGUGUGGAUCUACACACUGGGUGCAGGGGUCUCCAGCCCCAGACCUGUUGCUCUUGUAAGUCACCUUUAAAAGCGGCAGUUCCUUACAGAUGAGGAACACUUCUUUAAGCAGUUGAUCAGCACAGCAAAGAGACAUCCUUGAGUCCUCAAGAAUUAAUAUUUGGAUUUGUUCCCGAUCGUCUCUAAAGUACCUGAUUUAACUAAACAUAUAUACAUAUAUAUAAAUAUGUGAUCAGUUAAAUUGUCCCAGGCUUUUGGAAGGUGGUAAUUGAGGGUUACCUUUGAAACAUGCUGAAAACAUGUUGGACUGGGGCUUCUCGGGACCAGAGGGUAAGACCUCCUGACUUCCAUAUACAAACUUACUCUACCCAAAUCCAUAAAUCAUUCUUCUUCCCCCCUGAGAUGUACUCUGUUGGGUAGUCUGGGUUAUUACACGACAUGCUCAUGAUGCUUCAUCUUUCACUUGGAGCUCACUGGAGUUGACAGGCUCCCCAACACCCUCCUCUACUGAGCAAGUCAGGUUUAUCCUGACCUCAUGUGGACAUGUAAGAAAGGAGUAUUUUUCUCCUGAAAAUCUGGCUUUUCACUGCUGUUUUACAGCUUUAAAUAGUAGAUGUACCGGGUGAUUUAUGAGAUCAGUUAUCAGAACUCUUAUGCUUUUACAUCCAACUAUUAUUAAAGUUUAUUGACAGGAUCCAAGCUCUUGAGAAGCACCACCUCGUUUUCAUGGGGGGGGGCUUUUAGAAAACAUACCCAAACUACAGCUAUCACAACACAAAGAACAAAAGAAGAGAAAAGUAAAUAAAA